UUAAAUUGAAGAGUUUGAUCAUGGCUCAGAUUGAACGCUGGCGGCAGGCCUAACACAUGCAAGUCGAACGGUAACAGGAAGCAGCUUGCUGCUUCGCUGACGAGUGGCGGACGGGUGAGUAAUGUCUGGGAAACUGCCUGAUGGAGGGGGAUAACUACUGGAAACGGUGGCUAAUACCGCAUAACGUCGCAAGACCAAAGAGGGGGACCUUCGGGCCUCUUGCCAUCAGAUGUGCCCAGAUGGGAUUAGCUAGUUGGUGAGGUAACGGCUCACCAAGGCGACGAUCCCUAGCUGGUCUGAGAGGAUGACCAGCCACACUGGAACUGAGACACGGUCCAGACUCCUACGGGAGGCAGCAGUGGGGAAUAUUGCACAAUGGGCGCAAGCCUGAUGCAGCCAUGCCGCGUGUAUGAAGAAGGCCUUCGGGUUGUAAAGUACUUUCAGCGGGGAGGAAGGUGUUGUGGUUAAUAACCACAGCAAUUGACGUUACCCGCAGAAGAAGCACCGGCUAACUCCGUGCCAGCAGCCGCGGUAAUACGGAGGGUGCAAGCGUUAAUCGGAAUUACUGGGCGUAAAGCGCACGCAGGCGGUCUGUCAAGUCGGAUGUGAAAUCCCCGGGCUCAACCUGGGAACUGCAUUCGAAACUGGCAGGCUUGAGUCUUGUAGAGGGGGGUAGAAUUCCAGGUGUAGCGGUGAAAUGCGUAGAGAUCUGGAGGAAUACCGGUGGCGAAGGCGGCCCCCUGGACAAAGACUGACGCUCAGGUGCGAAAGCGUGGGGAGCAAACAGGAUUAGAUACCCUGGUAGUCCACGCCGUAAACGAUGUCUACUUGGAGGUUGUGCCCUUGAGGCGUGGCUUCCGGAGCUAACGCGUUAAGUAGACCGCCUGGGGAGUACGGCCGCAAGGUUAAAACUCAAAUGAAUUGACGGGGGCCCGCACAAGCGGUGGAGCAUGUGGUUUAAUUCGAUGCAACGCGAAGAACCUUACCUGGUCUUGACAUCCACGGAAGUUUUCAGAGAUGAGAAUGUGCCUUCGGGAACCGUGAGACAGGUGCUGCAUGGCUGUCGUCAGCUCGUGUUGUGAAAUGUUGGGUUAAGUCCCGCAACGAGCGCAACCCUUAUCCUUUGUUGCCAGCGGUCCGGCCGGGAACUCAAAGGAGACUGCCAGUGAUAAACUGGAGGAAGGUGGGGAUGACGUCAAGUCAUCAUGGCCCUUACGACCAGGGCUACACACGUGCUACAAUGGCGCAUACAAAGAGAAGCGACCUCGCGAGAGCAAGCGGACCUCAUAAAGUGCGUCGUAGUCCGGAUUGGAGUCUGCAACUCGACUCCAUGAAGUCGGAAUCGCUAGUAAUCGUGGAUCAGAAUGCCACGGUGAAUACGUUCCCGGGCCUUGUACACACCGCCCGUCACACCAUGGGAGUGGGUUGCAAAAGAAGUAGGUAGCUUAACCUUCGGGAGGGCGCUUACCACUUUGUGAUUCAUGACUGGGGUGAAGUCGUAACAAGGUAACCGUAGGGGAACCUGCGGUUGGAUCACCUCCUUACCUUAAAGAA
rnacentral:rRNA from 2 species